AUACGUAGGUGACAAGCGUUAUCCGGAUUUACUGGGCGUAAAGGGCGUGUAGGCGGUCUUGCAAGUCAGAAGUGAAAUUCCUGAGCUCAACUCGGGCGCUGCUUCUGAAACUGCAGGACUUGAGUGCUGGAGGGGAUAGCGGAAUUCCUAGUGGAGCGGUAAAAUGCGCAGAUAUUAGGAAGAACACCGGGGGCGAAGGCGGCUAUCGGGACAAUAACGUCCGCUGAGGCGCAAAAGCGGUGGGAGAAAACAGGAUUAGAGACCCGGGUAGUCCACGCCGUAAACGAGGAAUACUAGGUGUCGGGUUUCUAUAGAGAUUCGGUGCCGCAGCAAACGCAAUAAGUAUACCACCUGGGGAGUACGUUCGCAAGAAUGAAACUCAAAGGAAUGGGCGGGG
rnacentral:rRNA from 1 species